UCUGUGGUACAUGAUGACUUAAACUUUUUUCCCCAUCAUAUCGGCUAUGCUGAUUUCUUGAAUUCAAGCCAAAUUGUCUGAUUCCACAGA
ensembl:snoRNA